GGAUGUCUUGGAAGUUACUCAUGAAGGCACUGAUGAAGUCAAGAGAACCAAAAAGAAUUCUUUGACCCAAGAGUAUGAACUUUUCAGAAUGGAAACUGGUGAAGCUACAAACCAUAAGGAACAGAGGAGAAAUGGGAAAUAAGUGUAAACACAUUCAAACACACCCACAACCUCUAAUUCCAUCAUCUUCUUGACUCCAUGAUUCACAAUUUUUUUUUCAUUUUCAUUGUUUUUUUGCUCUUUUUUUUUUCUUUUUCUCAUCCUUUCUCUUUAUCUUUUUUUUUCUGAACAAAACUUGU
rnacentral:lncRNA from 1 species